rnacentral:rRNA from 1 species
AUUGAACGCUGGCGGCAUGCCUUACACAUGCAAGUCGAAUGGUAACAGGUCUUCGGAUGCUGACGAGUGGCGAACGGGUGAGUAAUACAUCGGAACGUGCCUAGUAGUGGGGGAUAACUACUCGAAAGAGUGGCUAAUACCGCAUGAGAUCUACGGAUGAAAGCAGGGGAUCGCAAGACCUUGUGCUACUAGAGCGGCCGAUGGCAGAUUAGGUAGUGGGUGGGAUAAAAGCUUACCAAGCCGACGAUCUGUAGCUGGUCUGAGAGGACGAUCAGCCACACUGGAACUGAGCCACGGCCCAGACUCCUACGGGAGGCAGCAGUGGGGAAUUUUGGACAAUGGGCGCAAGCCUGAUCCAGCAAUGCCGCGUGCAGGAUGAAGGCCUUCGGGUUGUAAACUGCUUUUGUACGGAACGAAAAGCCCUGGGUUAAUACCCUGGGGUAAUGACGGUACCGUAAGAAUAAGCACCGGCUAACUACGUGCCAGCCGCCGCGGUAAAAC